CACUAAUCAUGGAAAAAGUAAUCUAUGGUGAAUGUUUCAACUUUUAAGAAACAAAUUAUUCUGAAGUACAAAUUGUAAUCCUUGAAUCUGUUUCCUAUUUGUAU